GCCCAUGUGGUGAAAUUGGUAGACACGUCAGACUUAGGAUCUGAUGCCGCGAGGUGUGGGGGUUCGAGUCCCUCCAUGGGCA
rnacentral:tRNA from 1 species